UGCAAGUCGAGGGGCAGCGCGCUGGUGCAGCAAUGCAUUGGUGGCGGCGACCGGCGGAUGGGUGAGUAACGCGUAUCCAACCUGCCCCCGGCCCGGGCACAGCCCAUGGAAACGUGGAUUAACGCCCGAUGCGCCUACGAGCCGCAUGGCUUUUAGGUGAAACAGGCAGGGGAUGGGGAUGCGUCCCAUUAGGCAGCAGGCGGGGUAACGGCCCACCUGGCCCACGAUGGGUAGGGUUCUGAGAGGAAGGUCCCCCACAUUGGGACUGAGACACGGCCCAAACUCCUACGGGAGGCAGCAGUGAGGAAUAUUGGUCAAUGGGCGUGAGCCUGAACCAGCCAAGUAGCGUGGAGGAAGCAUGCCCUACGGGUUGUAAACUCCUUUAGUGCGGGAAUAACGUGCGCCACGUGUGGUGCAGUGCAGGUACCGCAAGAAUAAGGGCCGGCUAAUUCCGUGCCAGCAGCCGCGGUAAUACGGAAGGCCCGAGCGUUAUCCGGAUUUAUUGGGUUUAAAGGGAGCGCAGGCGGGAGCGUAAGUCAGCUGUUAAAAUGCGGCGCCCAACGCCGUAGUGCAGUUGAAACUGCGUUUCUUGAGUCCGCAAGAGGCAGGCGGAAUUUGUGGUGUAGCGGUGAAAUGCAUAGAUAUCACGAAGAACUCCGAUUGCGAAGGCAGCUUGCCGGGGCGCGACUGACGCUCAUGCUCGAAGGUGCGGGUAUCAAACAGGAUUAGAUACCCUGGUAGUCCGCACAGUAAACGAUGGAUGCCCGCGGUGCGGCCGUUAGGUUACGCCGCCAAGCGAAAGCGUUAAGCAUCCCACCUGGGGAGUACGCCGGCAACGGUGAAACUCAAAGGAAUUGACGGGGGCCCGCACAAGCGGAGGAACAUGUGGUUUAAUUCGAUGAUACGCGAGGAACCUUACCCGGGCUUGAAAUGCCCGCGCAGGCGGCUGGAGACGGCUGCCGUCCCUUCGGGGCGCGGGUGUAGGUGCUGCAUGGUUGUCGUCAGCUCGUGCCGUGAGGUGUCGGCUCAAGUGCCAUAACGAGCGCAACCCCUCUCUCCAGUUGCCAUCGGGCAAUGCCGGGAACUCUGGAGACACUGCCAUCGCAAGAUGUGAGGAAGGCGGGGACGACGUCAAAUCAGCACGGCCCUUACGUCCGGGGCUACACACGUGUUACAAUGGGGGGCACAGCGAGUUGGGCGCCGGCGACGGCGUCCGGAUCAAGAAAUCCCCUCCCAGUUCGGACUGGAGCCUGCAACCCGGCUCCACGAAGCUGGAUUCGCUAGUAAUCGCGCAUCAGCCAUGGCGCGGUGAAUACGUUCCCGGGCCUUGUACACACCGCCCGUCAAGCCAUGAAAGUCGGGGGCGCCCUGAAGUCCGUG
rnacentral:rRNA from 1 species